AUUGAACGCUGGCGGCAGGCUUAACACAUGCAAGUCGAGCGGAGAGAGGUAGCUUGCUACUGAUCUUAGCGGCGGACGGGUGAGUAAUGCUUAGGAAUCUGCCUAUUAGUGGGGGACAACAUUUCGAAAGGAAUGCUGAUACCGCAUACGUCCUACGGGAGAAAGCAGGGGAUCUUCGGACCUUGCGCUAAUAGAUGAGCCUAAGUCGGAUUAGCUAGUUGGUGGGGUAAAGGCCUACCAAGGCGACGAUCUGUAGCGGGUCUGGGAGGAUGAUCCGCCACACUGGGACUGAGACACGGCCCAGACUCCUACGGGAGGGAGCAGUGGGGAAUAUUGGACAAUGGGCGGAAGCCUGAUCCAGCCAUGCCACGUGUGUGAAGAAGGCCUUAUGGUUGUAAAGCACUUUAAGCGAGGAGGAGGCUACUUUAGUUAAUACCUAGAGAUAGUGGACGUUACUCGCAGAAUAAGCACCGGCUAACUCUGUGCCAGCAGCCGCAGUAA
rnacentral:rRNA from 1 species